GACAGAGGGUGCAAACGUUGUUCGGAAUUACUGGGCGUAAAGCGCGUGUAGGCGGCUAAGUAAGUCGGGCGUGAAAUCCCACGGCUCAACCGUGGAAGUGCACUCGAAACUGCGUAGCUAGAGUCCUGGAGAGGAAGGUGGAAUGCUUGGUGUAGAGGUGAAAUUCGUAGAUAUCGAGAGGAACACCGGUGGCGAAGGCGGCCAACUGGACGAAGACUGACGCUGAGACACGAAAGCGUGGGGAGCAAACAGG
rnacentral:rRNA from 1 species